AGCUCUGCACAGUGGCAGUAUCGUAGCCAAUGAGGUUUAUCCGAGGUGCGAUUAUUGCUAAUUGAAAACACACACACACGCGCACACACACACACACACACGCACAAGAUGAUGAGACAGUGGCUCUGUUGGCUUUCUUCUGUGGUUGUUGUGUCAGACUUGAA
rnacentral:snRNA from 1 species